rnacentral:rRNA from 1 species
UUUCGCAUUCGACUUAAAAAGAAGAAGAGAUGCGCCACGAAUCGUGCAGGCCUUUUUUUAGAUGGUGCUGGCAAAACUAAGCCAUGGAUUAAAAGCACAAAGGGAAGGCUUCCCAAGUAUCUUUAGCAUGCACAACACCCGUACAACUAUUGGAGCACCCAACGAUAAAAAUGAUUGGCAACACAACGUAGCGAUCAAAUACCAAGGUUUCCAACAUUGUACCCCCACAAACACUUGGAUAAGAGGAGGGGCGGUACAAACAACAUCAUUGAUCAUUCUUAUUCCGAAGCGGGUCCGUUUUCCACGAAGGCAACAUGAAACCUAGCGAAAUUCGACGCAUAGGCGAGAAAAGUUAUGGUGCUCGUCAGUUGGCCGCAACAAAGCGGGGAGCCUGACGUAGCACACACAUCAACAACCACUCACAUGCCGUCACGGUCACAACCCAGCAAGGCCCUCCGCCUUUCCCCCAAACGAUGAAAAA